GAUGGUGUGGUGCAGUGGUUAGCACGGUGGACUUUGAAUCUGGAGGUUGGUGGUUCGAGUCCAAGUCAUGUCA
rnacentral:tRNA from 1 species